rnacentral:rRNA from 1 species
AGACCCGAAACCCGGUGAUCUAGCCAUGGGCAGGUUGAAGGUUGGGUAACACUAACUGGAGGACCGAACCGACUAAUGUUGAAAAAUUAGCGGAUGACCUGUGGCUGGGGGUGAAAGGCCAAUCAAACCGGGAGAUAGCUGGUUCUCCCCGAAAGCUAUUUAGGUAGCGCCUCGUGAAUUCAUCUCCGGGGGUAGAGCACUGUUUCGGCUAGGGGGCCAUCCCGGCUUACCAACCCGAUGCAAACUGCGAAUACCGGAGAAUGUUAUCACGGGAGACACACGGCGGGUGCUAACGUCCGUCGUGAAGAGGGAAACAACCCAGACCGCCAGCUAAGGUCCCAAAGUCAUGGUUAAGUGGGAAACGAUGUGGGAAGGCCCAGACAGCCAGGAUGUUGGCUUAGAAGCAGCCAUCAUUUAAAGAAAGCGUAAUAGCUCACUGGUCGAGUCGGCCUGCGCGGAAGAUGUAACGGGGCUAAACCAUGCACCGAAGCUGCGGCAGCGACGCUUAUGCGUUGUUGGGUAGGGGAGCGUUCUGUAAGCCUGUGAAGGUGUGUCGUGAGGCAUGCUGGAGGUAUCAGAAGUGCGAAUGCUGACAUAAGUAACGAUAAAGCGGGUGAAAAGCCCGCUCGCCGGAAGACCAAGGGUUCCUGUCCAACGUUAAUCGGGGCAGGGUGAGUCGACCCCUAAGGCGAGGCCGAAAGGC